rnacentral:rRNA from 1 species
GAUGAACGCUGGCGGCGUGCCUAAUACAUGCAAGUCGAGCGAACGGACGAGAAGCUUGCUUCUCUGAUGUUAGCGGCGGACGGGUGAGUAACACGUGGAUAACCUACCUAUAAGACUGGGAUAACUUCGGGAAACCGGAGCUAAUACCGGAUAAUAUUUUGAACCGCAUGGUUCAAAAGUGAAAGACGGUCUUGCUGUCACUUAUAGAUGGAUCCGCGCUGCAUUAGCUAGUUGGUAAGGUAACGGCUUACCAAGGCAACGAUGCAUAGCCGACCUGAGAGGGUGAUCGGCCACACUGGAACUGAGACACGGUCCAGACUCCUACGGGAGGCAGCAGUAGGGAAUCUUCCGCAAUGGGCGAAAGCCUGACGGAGCAACGCCGCGUGAGUGGUGAAGGUCUUCGGAUCGUAAAACUCUGUUAUUAGGGAAGAACAUAUGUGUAAGUAACUGUGCACAUCUUGACGGUACCUAAUCAGAAAGCCACGGCUAACUACGUGCCAGCAGCCGCGGGUAUACGUAGGUGGCAAGCGUUAUCCGGAUUAUUGGGCGUAAAGCGCGCGUAGGCGGUUUUUUAGUCUGAUGUGAAAGCCCACGGCUCAACCGUGGAGGGUCAUUGGAAACUGGAAAACUUGAGUGCAGAAGAGGAAAGUGGAAUUCCAUGUGUAGCGGUGAAAUGCGCAGAGAUAUGGAGGAACACCAGUGGCGAAGGCGACUUUCUGGUCUGUAACUGACGCUGAUGUGCGAAAGCGUGGGGAUCAAACAGGAUUAGAUACCCUGGUAGUCCACGCCGUAAACGAUGAGUGCUAAGUGUUAGGGGGUUUCCGCCCCUUAGUGCUGCAGCUAACGCAUUAAGCACUCCGCCUGGGGAGUACGACCGCAAGGUUGAAACUCAAAGGAAUUGACGGGGACCCGCACAAGCGGUGGAGCAUGUGGUUUAAUUCGAAGCAACGCGAAGAACCUUACCAAAUCUUGACAUCCUUUGACAACUCUAGAGAUAGAGCCUUCCCCUUCGGGGGACAAAGUGACAGGUGGUGCAUGGUUGUCGUCAGCUCGUGACGUGAGAUGUUGGGUUAAGUCCCGCAACGAGCGCAACCCUUAAGCUUAGUUGCCAUCAUUAAGUUGGGCACUCUAAGUUGACUGCCGGUGACAAACCGGAGGAAGGUGGGGAUGACGUCAAAUCAUCAUGCCCCUUAUGAUUUGGGCUACACACGUGCUACAAUGGACAAUACAAAGGGCAGCGAAACCGCGAGGUCAAGCAAAUCCCAUAAAGUUGUUCUCAGUUCGGAUUGUAGUCUGCAACUCGACUACAUGAAGCUGGAAUCGCUAGUAAUCGUAGAUCAGCAUGCUACGGUGAAUACGUUCCCGGGUCU